rnacentral:rRNA from 1 species
CCUACGGGUGGCAGCAGUGAGGAAUAUUGGUCAAUGGACGAGAGUCUGAACCAGCCAAGUAGCGUGAAGGAUGACUGCCCUAUGGGUUGUAAACUUCUUUUAUAAAGGAAUAAAACGAGGCACGUGUGCCUUUUUGCAUGUACUUUAUGAAUAAGGAUCGGCUAACUCCGUGCCAGCAGCCGCGGUAAUACGGAGGAUCCGAUCGUUAUCCGGAUUUAUUGGGUUUAAAGGGAGCGUAGAUGGGUUGUUAAGUCAGUUGUGAAAUUUUGCGGCUCAACCGUAAAAUUGCAAUUGAUACUGGCAGUCUUGAGUACAGUUGAGGUAGGCGGAAUUCGUGGUGUAGCGGUGAAAUGCUUAGAUAUCACGAAGAACCCCGAUUGCGAAGGCAGCUUACUAAACUGUGACUGACAUUGAUGCUCGAAAGUGUGGGUAUCAAACAGGAUUAGAUACCCCUGUAGUC